CACGUAGGGUGCGAGCGUUGUCCGGAAUUAUUGGGCGUAAAGAGCUCGUAGGCGGUGUGUCGCGUCGGCCGUGAAAACCUGCAGCUUAACUGUGGGCUUGCGGUCGAUACGGGCAUCACUGGAGUUCGGCAGGGGAGACUGGAAUUCCUGGUGUAGCGGUGAAAUGCGCAGAUAUCAGGAGGAACACCGGUGGCGAAGGCGGGUCUCUGGGCCGAUACUGACGUGAUGCGCGAAAGCGUGGGGAGCAAACGGG
rnacentral:rRNA from 1 species